AACUUUCAACAACGGAUCUCUUGGUUCUGGCAUCGAUGAAGAACGCAGCGAAAUGCGAUAAGUAAUGUGAAUUGCAGAAUUCAGCGAAUCAUCGAAUUUUUGAACGCACAUUGCGCCUCAGGGUAUUCCUUGAGGCAUACCUGUUCGAGCGUCGUUUA
rnacentral:rRNA from 1 species